UACGUAGGGCGCGAGCGUUGUCCGGAAUUAUUGGGCGUAAAGAGCUCGUAGGCGGUCUGUCGCGUCGGAUGUGAAAGCCCGGGGCUUAACCCCGGGUCUGCAUUCGAUACGGGCAGACUAGAGUGUGGUAGGGGAGAUCGGAAUUCCUGGUGUAGCGGUGAAAUGCGCAGAUAUCAGGAGGAACACCGGUGGCGAAGGCGGGUCUCUGGGCCGAUACUGACGCUGAGGAGCGAAAGCGUGGGGAGCGAACAGG
rnacentral:rRNA from 1 species